GACGAACGCUGGCGGCGUGCUUAACACAUGCAAGUCGAACGCUGAAGCUCAGCUUUUGUUGGGUGGAUGAGUGGCGAACGGGUGAGUAACACGUGAGUAACCUGCCUCCUUCUUUGGGAUAACGCCCGGAAACGGGUGCUAAUACUGGAUAUUCACUGGUCUUCGCAUGGGGGUUGGUGGAAAGGGUUUUUCUGGUGGGGGAUGAGCUCGCGGCCUAUCAGCUUGUUGGUGGGGUGAUGGCCUACCAAGGCUUUGACGGGUAGCCGGCCUGAGAGGGUGACCGGUCACAUUGGGACUGAGAUACGGCCCAGACUCCUACGGGAGGCAGCAGUGGGGAAUAUUGCACAAUGGGCGCAAGCCUGAUGCAGCGACGCCGCGUGAGGGAUGGAGGCCUUCGGGUUGUGAACCUCUUUCGCUCAUGGUCAAGCCGCAACAAUGGUUGUGGUGAGGGUAGUGGGUAAAGAAGUGCCGGCUAACUACGUG
rnacentral:rRNA from 1 species